ensembl:misc_RNA 7SK 7SK RNA
GGAUGUGAGGACAAACUGGCUGCGACAUCUGUCACCCCAUUGAUCGCCAGGGUUGAUUCGGCUGAUCUGGUUGGGUAGGUGGGUGUGCCCUUCCUCCCUCACCGCUCCCUCCCAAAGCUGCGCGCUCGGUCGAAGAGGACGGCCUUCCCCAAAUAGAGAUGGACCGGUCUUCAGUCGAGGGUAUACGAGUAGCUGCGCUCCCCUGCUAGAACCUCCAAACAAGCUCUCUCCCUUCUGUCUUACCCUCCUCUCUCCAUUUCUCUCUGUCCUAUCCAACAACAACAUCAAUAACAACAAUAAUAAUAACUACAACAACAAAACAACAAGGGCAACGAAAGGGAAUAAAUAAAUAU